UUCCAUCUCUACCACCAUGAAAAAAGCAAAAAACACCCAAGAUUUGGCCAUCUCUGCUUAUGGCUGUUGAGACUGAGGUUUGGGCAUGAGGAGUUCUUUAUAUUAUUUUAUACUUCAUACCGUUUUCUUUAUUCUUCAGUAUGUUUGAAAAUCUCCAUAAGUGUUUGCUUGCUUGCUUGUUUCCCCUCCCCUUCCGGUAGUGGGGAUUGAACUCAAAACCUUUCGCUUAGGCAGGCGCCAGCACCACUGCGCUAAAUCCCUAGCUGUUUGCUUAUUUUGAGACGGGGUCUCACUGUAGCCCAGGAUCAUUGCAAAUUCAACCCCAGCGUGGACAACUUAGCAAGAGCCUAUUUCAAAAUAAAAAAUCAUUUUUAGGAGCUAAGAGUGGUAGCUCAGUGACAGAGCACUUGCCUACCAUGCACAAGGGUUUGAUUCGCAACACCACAAAAUCACACUUUUAAUAAUAAUAAAGGCGCAGGCGUGUAGCUCUAUGCAGAGGCUUGGGUUAAAUUUCUAGUAGCGCAAAGAUGAUAGACAAACAGGUAGACAUAGAUAGAUAGGGCCCAAACAUCCCUCCCAUAAGAGAGCUGCUUAAGUGCUAUGAUGGCUCAGAAGGAGCUGGUACAUAGAUGAGGUGGCAUUGGGGCUGGACCUAAAGCAUGAGACGUUUGACAGAAGUGGGAGGGGAGGGCACACCAGCCAAGAGCACAACACAUGAAAGAUACAAAGGAGAGCUGGGGGUGGGGGUGCAGGCCUGUAACUCCAGCACUCCGGAGGCUGAGGCAGGAGGAUCCUCAUGAGUUCCAGACCACCCUGGCUACAUAGUAAGACCCUAUCUCAAAAGAAAAAGCCUAGGAAUAGACCCAAAGGGAAGAUUCUAGAACUUCACCCUUAGUUAGAAAGCAGAGCCCAGCUGGGUGUGCUGGUGCACACCUGUAAUUCCCACAUUCUCUGGGAGGCUGAGACAGGAGGAUCACAACUUUAAACCUAGCCUGGGUAAUUUAGUGACUUAGCAAGAUCCUGUCUCAAAAUUUAAAAAAAAAAAAAAAAAAAAAGGGCUGAGGGUGUAACUCAAUGCAAAGGCCCUGGGUUCCAUCACCAGUACCAAAAAGGAAAAAGAAAACAAAACAGAGCCCAGUCCACAUCUCCAGGUGGGACUUUUUUUUUUUUUUUAACAGCGGG
rnacentral:lncRNA from 1 species